UGGUUCAGUUGGCAGAGCAUGGCGCUUGCAACACCAGGGUUGUGGGUUCGAUUCCCAC
rnacentral:tRNA from 1 species